rnacentral:rRNA from 1 species
CAAUAGCGUAUAUUAAAGUUGUUGCAGUUAAAAAGCUCGUAGUUGGAUUUGUGGUGUACUUCGGCGGCCCGUCACUAUGUGAUGGAGCUUGCUGAAGUCGCCAUCCUUGGGUGGAUCCUGUGUGGCAUUAAGUUGUCGUGCAGGGGAUACCCAUCGUUUACUGUGAAAAAAUUAGAGUGUUCAAAGCAGGCUUAUGCCGUUGAAUAUAUUAGCAUGGAAUAAUAAGAUAGGACCUUGGUACUAUUUUGUUGGUUUGCGCACCAAGGUAAUGAUUAAUAGGGACAGUUGGGGGUAUUCGUAUUUCAUUGUCAGAGGUGAAAUUCUUGGAUUUUUGAAAGACGAACUACUGCGAAAGCAUUUACCAAGGAUGUUUNCAUUA